rnacentral:rRNA from 1 species
AUGAACGCUGGCGGCGUGCCUAAUACAUGCAAGUCGAGCGAACAGACGAGGAGCUUGCUCCUUUGACGUUAGCGGCGGACGGGUGAGUAACACGUAGGUAACCUACCUAUAAGACUGGGAUAACUUCGGGAAACCGGAGCUAAUACCGGAUAAUAUUUCGAACCGCAUGGUUCGAUAGUGAAAGAUGGCUUUGCUAUCACUUAUAGAUGGACCUGCGCCGUAUUAGCUAGUUGGUAAGGUAACGGCUUACCAAGGCAACGAUACGUAGCCGACCUGAGAGGGUGAUCGGCCACACUGGAACUGAGACACGGUCCAGACUCCUACGGGAGGCAGCAGUAGGGAAUCUUCCGCAAUGGGCGAAAGCCUGACGGAGCAACGCCGCGUGAGUGAUGAAGGUCUUCGGAUCGUAAAACUCUGUUAUUAGGGAAGAACAAACGUGUAAGUAACUGUGCACGUCUUGACGGUACCUAAUCAGAAAGCCACGGCUAACUACGUGCCAGCAGCCGCGGUAAUACGUAGGUGGCAAGCGUUAUCCGGAAUUAUUGGGCGUAAAGCGCGCGUAGGCGGUUUUUUAAGUCUGAUGUGAAAGCCCACGGCUCAACCGUGGAGGGUCAUUGGAAACUGGAAAACUUGAGUGCAGAAGAGGAAAGUGGAAUUCCAUGUGUAGCGGUGAAAUGCGCAGAGAUAUGGAGGAACACCAGUGGCGAAGGCGAC